rfam:Syntrophomonas wolfei subsp. wolfei str. Goettingen, complete genome.
AAACUAAAUAUACUCCGAGCCUGAAAACCUGGUAAUAAUACUAAGGGUUUCAGGCCUGUAGGGUACGGCGGGAAACGGCCGGGCCUCCCAUGGUGGAAAGGAGAAAUCAAAUGCGCUUA